rnacentral:rRNA from 1 species
CGCUGGCGGCGUGCCUAACACAUGCAAGUCGAGCGAGGAGAUCCUUCGGGAUGAUCCUAGCGGCGGACGGGUGAGUAACACGUGGGCAACCUGCCUCAUAGAGAGGAAUAGCCUUCCGAAAGGGAGAUUAAUACCUCAUAACAUUGCAGUUUCGCAUGGAACAGCAAUUAAAGGAGUAAUCCGCUAUGAGAUGGGCCCGCGGCGCAUUAGCUAGUUGGUGAGGUAACGGCUCACCAAGGCGACGAUGCGUAGCCGACCUGAGAGGGUGAUCGGCCACAUUGGGACUGAGACACGGCCCAGACUCCUACGGGAGGCAGCAGUGGGGAAUAUUGCACAAUGGGGGAAACCCUGAUGCAGCAACGCCGCGUGAGUGAUGACGGCCUUCGGGUUGUAAAGCUCUGUCUUCAGGGACGAUAAUGACGGUACCUGAGGAGGAAGCCACGGCUAACUACGUGCCAGCAGCAGC